CCUACGGGUGGCAGCAGUGGGGAAUAUUGGGCAAUGGGCGCAAGCCUGACCCAGCAACGCCGCGUGAAGGAAGAAGGCUCUCUGGUUGUAAACUUCUUUUUAUAGGGAAGAGCAGAAGACGGUACCUCUUGAAUAAGCUACGGCUAAAUACUAGCCAGCAGCCGCGGUAAUACGUAGGUGGCAAGCGUUGUCCGGAUUUACUGGGUGUAAAGGGCGUGCAGCCGGGAAGACAAGUCAGAUGUGAAAUCCCGCGGCUCAACCGCGGAACUGCAUUUGAAACUGUUUUUCUUGAGUACCGGAGAGGUAAUCGGAAUUCGUGGUGUAGCGGUGAAAUGCGUAGAUAUAAGGAAGAACACCGGUUGCGAAGGCGGAUGACUGGACGGCAACUGACGGUGAGGCGCGAAAGCGUGGGGAGCAAACAGGAUUAGAUACCCUUGUAGUC
rnacentral:rRNA from 1 species